rnacentral:rRNA from 1 species
GAUCUCUUUGAGGCCCGUUAUCGGAAUGAGAGCAAUUCAAAUCCUUUAACGAGGAUCUAGCGGAGGGCAAGUCUGGUGCCAGCAGCCGCGGUAAUUCCAGCUCCGCAGGUGUAUAUCUAUGCUGCUGCGGUUAAAAAGCUCGUAGUUGGAUCUGCGUGCUCGGAACUGGUUGGCUCACUGAGUUCAAACUGGUCUCCGGCGCUUUAUUGGCUGGUUUUCCCUUGAUGCUCUUAACCGGGUGUCUUGGGUGGCUAGCACGUUUACUUUGAAAAAAUUAGAGUGCUCAAUACAGGCGUAAAGCCUUGAAUAUUUGUGCAUGGAAUAAUAGAAUAGGACCUCGGCUCUAUUUUGUUGGUUUUCGGAACGCGAGGUAAUGAUUAAGAGGGACAGACGGGGGCAUUCGUAUUGCGACGUUAGAGGUGAAAUUCUUGGAUCGUCGCAAGACGGACGACUGCGAAAGCAUUUGCCAAGAAUGUUUUCAUUAAUCAAGAACGAAAGUUAGAGGUUCGAAGGCGAUCAGAUACCGCCCUAGUUCUAACCGUAAACGAUGCCAACUAGCGAUUCGCAGGCGUUAAACAACGACCUUGCGGGCAGCUUCCCGGAAACGAAAGUGUUCGGGUUCCGGGGGAAGUAUGGUUGCAAAGCUGAAACUUAAAGGAAUUGACGGAAGGGCACCACCAGGAGUGGAGUCUGCGGCUUAAUUUGACCCAACACGGGAAAACUCACCCGGCCCGGACACCGUAAGGAUUGACAGAUUGAGAGCUCUUUCUUGAUUCGGUGGGUGGUGGUGCAUGGCCGUUCUUAGUUGGUGGAGCGAUUUGUCUGGUUUAUUCCGAUAACGAACGAGACACUGGCCUACUAAAUAGUGGGCGGAUUCUUUCUGUCCGCAACACUUCUUAGAGGGACAAGCGGUGUUCAGCCGCACGAGAUUGAGCAAUAACAGGUCUGUGAUGCCCUUAGAUGUCCGGGGCUGCACGCGCGCUACACUGAAGGAAUCAGCGUGCUUUCUGACCUUGCCCGAAAGGGCUGGGUAACCCGAUGAAAAUCCUUCGUGAUUGGGAUAGGGACUCGCAAUUAUUUCCCUUGAACGAGGAAUUCCCAGUAAGUGUGGGUCAUAAGCUCGCGUUGAUUACGUCCCUGCCCUUUGUACACACCGCCCGUCGCUGCCCGGAACUGAGCCGUUUCGAGAAGAACAGGGAUCGUCGUUGAAGGGCCUUAACGGGCUUUUCUCUGAUAGAAACUGUU